rnacentral:lncRNA from 1 species
UUAUCUCUUCCCCUCUCCCUCUCUUCAUCUCUCGUUCUCUUCGUCUCUCUAACUCUAUCGCCAAAAAAAAAAAAAAAACCAGAAAAGUCUCCGGCGACGAACGGAGAACAAGUCCAAGAAGAGCAUCGACUCGGUGUUUUUUUGUGCUGCAAGUUAUGGAUAAGGCGUCGCUUAUCCAUAAAAGUCUUUCUCGGUAGAUCUGGCCCCGACGAAGAAGAUGCACAACAGAUGGGGGUUGAUGACGGGCGGCAGAGACUUGGGAAGGUAUUCUCUGUUAAAAUAAAACAAAUCAUCUUUUAAUUAAUGUAAGUUUUCUUCUGCUUAAAGCUUAGGCUUUAAAAAUA